rnacentral:rRNA from 1 species
GCGAGGCCGAAAGGCGUAGUCGAUGGGAAACAGGUUAAUAUUCCUGUACUUGGUGUUACUGCGAAGGGGGGACGGAGAAGGCUAUGUUGGCCGGGCGACGGUUGUCCCGGUUUAAGCGUGUAGGCUGGUUUUCCAGGCAAAUCCGGAAAAUCAAGGCUGAGGCGUGAUGACGAGGCACUACGGUGCUGAAGCAACAAAUGCCCUGCUUCCAGGAAAAGCCUCUAAGCAUCAGGUAACAUCAAAUCGUACCCCAAACCGACACAGGUGGUCAGGUAGAGAAUACCAAGGCGCUUGAGAGAACUCGGGUGAAGGAACUAGGCAAAAUGGUGCCGUAACUUCGGGAGAAGGCACGCUGAUAUGUAGGUGAAGCGACUUGCUCGUGGAGCUGAAAUCAGUCGAAGAUACCAGCUGGCUGCAACUGUUUAUUAAAAACACAGCACUGUGCAAACACGAAAGUGGACGUAUACGGUGUGACGCCUGCCCGGUGCCGGAAGGUUAAUUGAUGGGGUUAGCGGUAACGCGAAGCUCUUGAUCGAAGCCCCGGUAAACGGCGGCCGUAACUAUAACGGUCCUAAGGUAGCGAAAUUCCUUGUCGGGUAAGUUCCGACCUGCACGAAUGGCGUAAUGAUGGCCAGGCUGUCUCCACCCGAGACUCAGUGAAAUUGAACUCGCUGUGAAGAUGCAGUGUACCCGCGGCAAGACGGAAAGACCCCGUGAACCUUUACUAUAGCUUGACACUGAACAUUGAGCCUUGAUGUGUAGGAUAGGUGGGAGGCUUUGAAGUGUGGACGCCAGUCUGCAUGGAGCCGACCUUGAAAUACCACCCUUUAAUGUUUGAUGUUCUAACGUUGGCCCCUGAUCGGGGUUGCGGACAGUGUCUGGUGGGUAGUUUGACUGGGGCGGUCUCCUCCUAAAGAGUAACGGAGGAGCACGAAGGUUGGCUAAUCCUGGUCGGACAUCAGGAGGUUAGUGCAAUGGCAUAAGCCAGCUUGACUGCGAGCGUGACGGCGCGAGCAGGUGCGAAAGCAGGUCAUAGUGAUCCGGUGGUUCUGAAUGGAAGGGCCAUCGCUCAACGGAUAAAAGGUACUCCGGGGAUAACAGGCUGAUACCGCCCAAGAGUUCAUAUCGACGGCGGUGUUUGGCACCUCGAUGUCGGCUCAUCACAUCCUGGGGCUGAAGUAGGUCCCAAGGGUAUGGCUGUUCGCCAUUUAAAGUGGUACGCGAGCUGGGUUUAGAACGUCGUGAGACAGUUCGGUCCCUAUCUGCCGUGGGCGCUGGAGAACUGAGGGGGGCUGCUCCUAGUACGAGAGGACCGGAGUGGACGCAUCACUGGUGUUCGGGUUGUCAUGCCAAUGGCACUGCCCGGUAGCUAAAUGCGGAAGAGAUAAGUGCUGAAAGCAUCUAAGCACGAAACUUGC